CGGGAUGUGGCGCAGUCCGGUAGCGUACCAGCAUGGGGUGCUGGGGGUCGCAAGUUCGAAUCUUGUCAUCCCGACGA
rnacentral:tRNA from 1 species